GACGAACGCUGGCGGCGUACCUAAUACAUGCAAGUCGAGCGAACAGAUGAAGAAGCUUGCUUCUUCUGACGUUAGCGGCGGACGGGUGAGUAACACGUGGGCAACCUACCCUAUAGUUUGGGAUAACUCCGGGAAACCGGGGCUAAUACCGAAUGAUACAUCGCAUCUCAUGUUGCGAUGUUGAAAGAUGGUUCUGCUAUCGCUAUAGGAUGGGCCCGCGGCGCAUUAGCUAGUUGGUGAGGUAACGGCUCACCAAGGCGACGAUGCGUAGCCGACCUGAGAGGGUGAUCGGCCACACUGGGACUGAGACACGGCCCAGACUCCUACGGGAGGCAGCAGUAGGGAAUCUUCCACAAUGGGCGAAAGCCUGAUGGAGCAACGCCGCGUGAGUGAAGAAGGAUUUCGGUUCGUAAAACUCUGUUGUAAGGGAAGAACAAGUACAGUAGUAACUGGCUGUACCUUGACGGUACCUUAUUAGAAAGCCACGGCUAACUACGUGCCAGCCGCCGCGGUAACAC
rnacentral:rRNA from 1 species